AUCCACUGUCACCACUCGGAGCCU
rnacentral:siRNA from 1 species